GACGGAGGAUGCAAGUGUUAUCCGGAAUCACUGGGCGUAAAGCGUCUGUAGGUUGUUUAAAAAGUCUGCAGUUAAAGGUUGAAGCUUAACUUCAAAAAUGCCGUAGAAACUUUUAAACUAAGAGGAUGGUAGGGGUAGAGGGAAUUUCCAGUGGAGCGGUGAAAUGUGUAGAGAUCGGAAAGAACACCAACGGCGAAAGCACUCUGCUGGGCCGACACUGACACUGAGAGACGAAAGCUAGGGGAGCGAAUGGG
rnacentral:rRNA from 1 species